GGUCUCUGUGUUGGGCGUCUGUCUGCCCGCAUGCCUGCCUCUUUGUUAGUCUGAAGGAGGCAGGGGCUGGGCCUGCAGCUGCCUGGGCAGAGCGG
rnacentral:pre_miRNA from 1 species